rnacentral:rRNA from 1 species
CGGGACACGUGGUAUCCUGUCUGAAUAUGGGGGGACCAUCCUCCAAGGCUAAAUACUCCUGACUGACCGAUAGUGAACCAGUACCGUGAGGGAAAGGCGAAAAGAACCCCGGCGAGGGGAGUGAAAAAGAACCUGAAACCGUGUACGUACAAGCAGUGGGAGCACGCUUCGGCGUGUGACUGCGUACCUUUUGUAUAAUGGGUCAGCGACUUAUAUUCUGUAGCAAGGUUAACCGAAUAGGGGAGCCGAAGGGAAACCGAGUCUUAACUGGGCGUUAAGUUGCAGGGUAUAGACCCGAAACCCGGUGAUCUAGCCAUGGGCAGGUUGAAGGUUGGGUAACACUAACUGGAGGACCGAACCGACUAAUGUUGAAAAAUUAGCGGAUGACUUGUGGCUGGGGGUGAAAGGCCAAUCAAACCGGGAGAUAGCUGGUUCUCCCCGAAAGCUAUUUAGGUAGCGCCUCGUGAAUUCAUCUCCGGGGGUAGAGCACUGUUUCGGCAAGGGGGUCAUCCCGACUUACCAACCCGAUGCAAACUGCGAAUACCGGAGAAUGUUAUCACGGGAGACACACGGCGGGUGCUAACGUCCGUCGUGAAGAGGGAAACAACCCAGACCGCCAGCUAAGGUCCCAAAGUCAUGGUUAAGUGGGAAACGAUGUGGGAAGGCCCAGACAGCCAGGAUGUUGGCUUAGAAGCAGCCAUCAUUUAAAGAAAGCGUAAUAGCUCACUGGUCGAGUCGGCCUGCGCGGAAGAUGUAACGGGGCUAAACCAUGCACCGAAGCUGCGGCAGCGACACUAUGUGUUGUUGGGUAGGGGAGCGUUCUGUAAGCCUGUGAAGGUGUACUGUGAGGUAUGCUGGAGGUAUCAGAAGUGCGAAUGCUGACAUAAGUAACGAUAAAGCGGGUGAAAAGCCCGCUCGCCGGAAGACCAAGGGUUCCUGUCCAACGUUAAUCGGGGCAGGGUGAGUCGACCCCUAAGGCGAGGCCGAAAGGCGUAGUCGAUGGGAAACAGGUUAAUAUUCCUGUACUUGGUGUUACUGCGAAGGGGGGACGGAGAAGGCUAUGUUGGCCGGGCGACGGUUGUCCCGGUUUAAGCGUGUAGGCUGGUUUUCCAGGCAAAUCCGGAAAAUCAAGGCUGAGGCGUGAUGACGAGGCACUACGGUGCUGAAGCAACAAAUGCCCUGCUUCCAGGAAAAGCCUCUAAGCAUCAGGUAACAUCAAAUCGUACCCCAAACCGACACAGGUGGUCAGGUAGAGAAUACCAAGGCGCUUGAGAGAACUCGGGUGAAGGAACUAGGCAAAAUGGUGCCGUAACUUCGGGAGAAGGCACGCUGAUAUGUAGGUGAAGUCCCUCGCGGAUGGAGCUGAAAUCAGUCGAAGAUACCAGCUGGCUGCAACUGUUUAUUAAAAACACAGCACUGUGCAAACACGAAAGUGGACGUAUACGGUGUGACGCCUGCCCGGUGC